UACGAAGGGGGCUAGCGUUGCUCGGAAUGACUGGGCGUAAAGGGCGCGUAGGCGGAUGGCACAGUCAGAUGUGAAAUUCCCGGGCUUAACCUGGGGGCUGCAUUUGAUACGUGUGAUCUAGAGUGAGGAAGAGGGUCGUGGAAUUCCCAGUGUAGAGGUGAAAUUCGUAGAUAUCGGGAGGAACACCGGUGGCGAAGGCGGUUCUCUGGGCCUUACCUGACGCUGAGGAGCGAAAGCGUGGGGAGCGAACAGG
rnacentral:rRNA from 1 species